rnacentral:rRNA from 1 species
UUACCGGCUUGACAUGACAGAGAUUCCUUCGGGCACAGAUGCUGCAUGGCUGUCGUCAGCUCGUGUUGUGAAAUGUUCGGUUAAGUCCGGCAACGAGCGCAACCCUAUCUUAGUUACCAGCAUAUGGGACUCUAGGAGACUGCCGGUGUCAACCGGAGGAAGGCGGGGAUGACGUCAAGUCCUCAUGGCUCUUACGCCGGGCUACACACGUACUACAAUGGGAAACAACAGGCACCGUGAGGCCAGCAAUCUGUAAAACAUCUCAGUCCGGAUUGAAGUCUGCAACUCGACUUCAUGAAGUUGGAAUCGCUAGUAAUCGCAAUCAGCACGUGCGGUGAAUACGUUCCCGGGCCUUGUACACACCGCCCGUCACACCACGAAAGUGGUUUACCGAA